rfam:Nicotiana attenuata strain TT chromosome 6, whole genome shotgun sequence.
UUAAUUAAUAUUUUAUUUUUAAUUAAGAUAUAAAAUAUAAAAUAAAAAUAUAUAUUAAAUUUUUUAAUCAAUACAGAAUAUAGUCGAAAGCUAGGGAAGCGAAUGGGAUUAGAUACCCCCGUAGUCCUAGUUGUAAACAAUGGAUACUAGGCGUUGUGCGUAUCGACCCGUGCAGUGUCGUAGCUAACGCGUUAAGUAUCCCGCCUGGGGAGUACGGUCGCAAGAAUGAAACUCAAAGGAAUUGACGGCGCAAUAAUUCAACAAGGGUGAUCCUAUUACAGGAAUAGCGUCAGGGACACUUGUUACUAUUUUCACUGCCCAAUAACCAACUCC